GGUCUCGAUUAUCCAGCCUUCAGUAGGGUAUUAUAUUUGGGGUAACUGCACACAGGCCAUUAGAAAGGGGUAACAUGUGGGGUAACUGCUCACAGAAGGGGGAAGGGUGUGGAGCAACUGUCAGGGCAACUGCACAGAGGCAGUUAGGAGGGUAUAGUACGUGGGGUAACUGCACAGAGUCAGUUAGGACUCUCUCUCCUUUCCUUCCCUCUCAGCUCCACCCUCUUGAUUAAAAACAAGAAAAAAACUCCAUGAAUAUAAAUCUGUUUUGAUAAAGCAUUUCUCAAUAUUUCCAAUGAUGACACAGAAUGAUUACAUUUUAAAAGGGCUUUAUUUGAGCAUGAGCAUGAAGCAUAUUUUUUUUAUCAUUUGACAGCAUGAGCAGUUGAGCAGUGUGUUUCCUUCAAAGAGGAAAGAGCAAGAAGCCACUGGACGUGUUGUGGUUAUCAGAAUUAUCAUAGAGCCUGUAGCCUGUAGGGAGUCGCAUGUUAACUACAUCUCCCUCCUCCAGCUGCAGAGUCACACCACUGGAGAGAUAGGAGUAUUGCCCAUCGGUCUGGUACUCACGCAACAACAUGACCCCUUCUCCAUUCUUAAACAUCCUGAUAUACAUGUGGUGUGAGGAAAGAUGAUCUGCGACUGUGAAUCUGAAGUAGUACACUCCCCUGACUGGAGCUGUGAAGAAGCCGGUCAUGUUGCUGUAGGCCUGUCCAACAUUGGUGAUGAUUCUAGUGAAGACCAAGUUCAGAUCAGUGUUUCCAGACUCUAGGUAUCCUGAGUCAGUCAGACCUGCUUAGAAUGCCACCUUGGGUUUCUCUGUAAUCUCUUUCUCCAGAUUCACUACUUCAGUCUCAGUGGCUGCCAGUCUGGUCUUCACUGAUGUCAGCUCUGCCUCUUGUGCUGCAGUGUCUUUCUUCACAUGCUGCAUGUCAGUCUCAGUGGCUGCCAGUCUCAAAGUAACUGACCUCAGAUCAGCUGUGAUGUGCUGCAGCUUCCUUCCUCAGAUUCACCACUUCAGUUUCACUUAAAGACAGUCUGGUCUUCACAACUGUCAGUUCUGCCUCUUGUGCUAAAUUGUCCUUGAUCAGGUUCAUCAUUUCAGUCUUUACAGCUGUCAUCUCUGCCUCUUGUGCUAAAUUCACCCUUUCCAGAGCCUCCACUUUAGUCUCACUGGCCACCUAUCUUUGUUUCAGAGCAUCAUUUUCAGCCUCUAUUUUGUUCAGCAGAUCUUUGGUGUUUUUUAGCUCAUACUGAGUGAAGCUCAGAGUCAUUCUCUGCUCCACUAACGUGAUUCCUUGCUUGUCCACCAUGGUUCCCUGAGCUCAGCAGAGACAACCAGCUGGGUAGUGACUGCAGCAGCAGCAGCAGCAGCAGCCCCAGUGCUCUGGCUCUCUGUGUGAACUUCAGUCUGGGUGCUCUGAGUCUGAGAUCCACACAUGGAGAUCAGCAGCACCUGCAGUGUGAUGACAGCCCUCAUCUUCAACAUCACUCCCUCUCUGACUCACAGUAGUUUUGUAGUAGCAGUAGUAGUAGAAGGUUGUUAGUCUCACUCUUGAGACACCCUCUUUUAUAUGCCUCAGUUACUCAUUAUGUAAGAAAUUUCAUGACGUUUUGAGGUUAAAUAAAGUCCAGGGACACUGAUCAGAAUUAGAAACAGAAGAUUUUCAGUCUGUGAACACCCUAUCUUUUUAGGUUAUUUAGUGAUUAUUUAUGGAGGUUUCAUCACUUUCGGGGUGAACUGGAGUCCAGGGACACUGAUAUGUUUUUUUUCCCCAGGACAUAUCUAGUUAUUAUUUAUCAGUGUUGUGGGAAAGUGCAAGCCUGUCACCCAUCAUGUAGGGCAGGUAAAGUUUCAUGUCCUUAUUUCACCCAUUCGUCUUAGACUUUAAGAAUCACAUCUAUUCCUCCUGUCAAUGCUAGUGAGGAUCUAGUUCUCACCAAAGACAAAUAGUCACAAAUAAUUACAAAAACUGAGGAAAAAGAAAUAAGCAAAAAAGAUCUUUGGGUGACUUCAUGGAAUUAUAUAAAUAUUGAUGAUGGAAGUUCCUAAGAAAGUCACUACAUUUAGUCAAUAAAGAUAGUUUGAUUUUCGAUUAGACUAAAUGUUUUUUUUAUUUUUUAUCAAUACCAAUUUAUUAUCAUUUCCUUUGCACUAGCCCUGCAGACUGUGUGUGUGGAGCUUCUACCCUUGGGAUAUGACUUCGACUUCGUCAACAGGUGGCUGGAGACCGUUGGGCCGGAGUGGCUCAGGAAUGCAGAGGAGCUGACCCCAAAGGGGCAGAUAGACACACUAUCAAGUUUCCUGUAUACGGGGCACGCCAACACUCUGUUCACAAGUGUUGUUGACAGCGGACAGAAUGUUGGAGGGCACUGCUAUGUCCAUUCCACAGUUCCAGCCGUCUUCUGACCAUGACAAUAUAGAAGGAGAAGGGAGGGGUUGGACAGAACAUAUCCAUGUGAAAAAUAUGAGUAUAUAGUUUUUAUACUGUGUGCUUCAAAACUACAAUUGAAUGCACUAAUGUAAUCACAAGGGGGUGGUGGAGGAAUGAUCAUCCUUGAAUUCUUUUAGUUAUUUAUUUCCACAAAUAGAUAAAAUAAAACCUUUUUUUAUCUUCCUAAAUCUGCCAAAUCUGCCAGUCUCUUCACCUCUUAAACACAUACAAAAAAGCCAUCCCGUGACGCAAAACAUUGUAUAAUUGUCUGUCUUUUAUGAAAUUGAGUUUAUUGUAAUUUGAAACAUGUUCCACCUUAGUUGUUCAUCAUAGCCUGAAAAGACUAUGACAGCAAUUGCCAUCAUUAUUAUUAAAUCGGCUAUUAUCCUUGUGUGCCCAUGUUUGAAACAGCAUGUUUCUCAGAACACAUGAAAUAUGACAACAUACCACCUACCUCAAUUCCACUAGGAAACUUCAUAUGUUCGCACAUACUUAUUUGCGUGCUUGUGCGUGUGAGUAUUUUGUGUGUGUGUGUGUGUGUGUGUAUGUGUGUGCAGUGGGCCUCCAGUCACCCUAUGC